UACGUAGGGCGCAAGCGUUAUCCGGAAUUAUUGGGCGUAAAGAGCUCGUAGGCGGUUUGUCGCGUCUGCCGUGAAAAUCCGGGGCUCAACCCCGGACUUGCAGUGGGUACGGGCAGACUGGAGUGUGGUAGGGGAGACUGGAAUUCCUGGUGUAGCGGUGGAAUGCGCAGAUAUCAGGAGGAACACCGAUGGCGAAGGCAGGUCUCUGGGCCACUACUGACGCUGAGAAGCGAAAGCAUGGGGAGCGAACAGG
rnacentral:rRNA from 1 species